rnacentral:rRNA from 1 species
CCUACGGGCGGCAGCAGUGAGGAAUAUUGGUCAAUGGACGCGAGCCUGAACCAGCCAAGUAGCGUGAAGGAUGACUGCCCUAUGGGUUGUAAACUUCUUUUAUAUAGGAAUAAAGUGAUGCACGUGUGCCUUUUUGUAUGUACUAUAUGAAUAAGGAUCGGCUAACUCCGUGCCAGCAGCCGCGGUAAUACGGAGGAUCCGAGCGUUAUCCGGAUUUAUUGGGUUUAAAGGGAGCGUAGAUGGAUUGUUAAGUCAGUUGUGAAAGUUUGCGGCUCAACCGUAAAAUUGCAAUUGAUACUGGCAGUCUUGAGUACAGUAGAGGUGGGUGGAAUUCGUGGUGUAGCGGUGAAAUGCUUAGAUAUCACGAAGAACUCCGAUGGCGAAGGCAGCUUACUAGACUGCAACUGACAUUGAUGCUCGAAAGUGUGGGUAUCAAACAGGAUUAGAUACCCGAGUAGUC